rnacentral:rRNA from 1 species
AUUGAACGCUGGCGGCAGGCCUAACACAUGCAAGUCGGGCGAGAAGCGGACGGGUGAGUAAUGUAUGGGGAUCUGCCUGAUGGAGGGGGAUAACUACUGGAAAAGGUAGCUAAUACCGCAUACACUCAGAGGAACCCGAAUGGGAUUAGCUUGUAGGUAAGGUAACGGCUUACCUAGGCGACGAUCCCUAGAUGGUCUGAGAGGAUGAUAAGCCACACGGGGACUGAGACAUGGCCCAGACUCCUACGGGAGGCAGCAGUGGGGAAUAUUGCACAAUGGGCGCAAGCCUGAUGCAGCCAUGCCGCGUGUAUGAAGAAGGCCUUCGGGUUGUAAAGUACUUUCAGUCGGGAGGCGUUACCGACAGAAGAAGCACCGGCUAACUCCGUGCCAGCAGCCGCGGUAAUUC